rnacentral:rRNA from 1 species
GGCCACAGCCAUAUCACCCUGCAGCCCAAGACUGGUUACUCACUGAAGCUAAGCAGGGUUGAGCCUGGUCAGUACCUGGAUGGCAGACCACAUCGGAAAACUAGUUUGCUGUUGAAA